UCAGAUUGAACGCUGGCGGCAGGCUUAACACAUGCAAGUCGAGCGGUAACAGGGGUAGCUUGCUACCCGCUGACGAGCGGCGGACGGGUGAGUAAUGCAUAGGAAUCUGCCCAGUAGUGGGGGAUAGCCCGGGGAAACCCGGAUUAAUACCGCGUACGCCCUUCGGGGGAAAGCAGGGGAUCUUCGGACCUUGCGCUAUUGGAUGUGCCUAUGUCGGAUUAGCUAGUUGGUGGGGUAAAGGCUUACCAAGGCGACGAUCCGUAGCUGGUCUGAGAGGAUGAUCAGCCACAUCGGGACUGAGACACGGCCCGAACUCCUACGGGAGGCAGCAGUGGGGAAUAUUGGACAAUGGGGGCAACCCUGAUCCAGCCAUGCCGCGUGUGUGAAGAAGGCUUUCGGGUUGUAAAGCACUUUCAGUGAGGAGGAAAACUCUGCGACUAAUACUCGUAGGGCUUGACGUUACUCACAGAAGAAGCACCGGCUAACUCCGUGCCAGCAGCCGCGGUAAUACGGAGGGUGCAAGCGUUAAUCGGAAUUACUGGGCGUAAAGCGCGCGUAGGUGGUUUGAUAAGCGAGAUGUGAAAGCCCCGGGCUUAACCUGGGAACGGCAUUUCGAACUGUCAGGCUAGAGUAUGGUAGAGGGUAGUGGAAUUUCCUGUGUAGCGGUGAAAUGCGUAGAUAUAGGAAGGAACACCAGUGGCGAAGGCGGCUACCUGGACCAAUACUGACACUGAGGUGCGAAAGCGUGGGGAGCAAACAGGAUUAGAUACCCUGGUAGUCCACGCCGUAAACGAUGUCUACUAGCCGUUGGGACUCUUGAAGUCUUAGUGGCGCAGCUAACGCACUAAGUAGACCGCCUGGGGAGUACGGCCGCAAGGUUAAAACUCAAAUGAAUUGACGGGGGCCCGCACAAGCGGUGGAGCAUGUGGUUUAAUUCGACGCAACGCGAAGAACCUUACCUGGCCUUGACAUGCAGAGAACUUUCCAGAGAUGGAUUGGUGCCUUCGGGAACUCUGACACAGGUGCUGCAUGGCCGUCGUCAGCUCGUGUCGUGAGAUGUUGGGUUAAGUCCCGUAACGAGCGCAACCCCUAUCCCUAGUUGCUAGCAGUUCGGCUGAGAACUCUAGGGAGACUGCCGGUGACAAACCGGAGGAAGGUGGGGAUGACGUCAGGUCAUCAUGGCCCUUACGGCCAUGGCUACACACGUGCUACAAUGGUGCGCACAGAGGGCUGCAAACCCGCGAGGGGGAGCCAAUCUCACAAAACGCAUCGUAGUCCGGAUCGCAGUCUGCAACUCGACUGCGUGAAGUCGGAAUCGCUAGUAAUCGUGAAUCAGAAUGUCACGGUGA
rnacentral:rRNA from 1 species